CGAGCCGGCCCCAAUCCGCCGCUAAUGGCAGCUCCAGCGUGUAUACCCGCCACCCCUAACUUAACCCAACCAAACUUAACCUAACUUAUACAUUAUUCUGAAAAUCUCAGAAAAUUUGAUAUUGAUACACAAUAUCUUCAAAGUCAAGUGUAUGAUGGUGAAGGAUCGAUGGCCAGGAAAUAUUAUGGAACUUAAGCUUAUAUAAAAAAAUAACUAACC